GUCGACGAAGCAUUUAGAAAGAUUACUUCGGUUUGAAGUUCUUUAUGACUGAGUGGCGGACGGGUGAGUAACGCGUGGGUAACCUGCCUUGUACUGGGGGAUAGCAGCUGGAAACGGCUGGUAAUACCGCAUAAGCGCACAAUGUUGCAUGACAUGGUGUGAAAAACUCCGGUGGUAUAAGAUGGACCCGCGUCUGAUUAGCUAGUUGGUGAGAUAACAGCCCACCAAGGCGACGAUCAGUAGCCGACCUGAGAGGGUGACCGGCCACAUUGGGACUGAGACACGGCCCAGACUCCUACGGGAGGCAGCAGUGGGGAAUAUUGCACAAUGGAGGAAACUCUGAUGCAGCGACGCCGCGUGAGUGAAGAAGUAAUUCGUUAUGUAAAGCUCUAUCAGCAGGGAAGAUAGUGACGGUACCUGACUAAGAAGCUCCGGCUAAAUACGUGCCAGCAGCCGCGGUAAUACGUAUGGAGCAAGCGUUAUCCGGAUUUACUGGGUGUAAA
rnacentral:rRNA from 1 species